AAAAAAAAAAAAAAAAAAAAAUUUUCUAAACUCCCAACCCAUGUGAACUUACCAUUGUUGCCUCGGCAGAAGCUACCCUGUGGCGUCUUACCCGGGAACGGCCUACCCUGUAGCGCCUUACCCUGGAACGACCUACCCUGUAGCGGCUGCCGGUGGACUACUCAACUCUUGUUAUUUUAUGGUUAUCUGAGCGUCUUAUUUUAAUAAGUCAAAACUUUCAACAACGGAUCUCUUGGUUCUGGCAUCGAUGAAGAACGCAGCGAAAUGCGAUAAGUAAUGUGAAUUGCAGAAUUCAGUGAAUCAUCGAAUCUUUGAACGCACAUUGCGCCCAUUAGUAUUCUAGUGGGCAUGCCUGUUCGAGCGUCAUUUCAACCCUUAAGCCUAGCUUAGUGUUGGGAGCCUACUGCUGUUACCGGCUGUAGCUCCUGAAAUACAACGGCGGAUCUGCGAUAUCCUCUGAGCGUAGUAAUUUUUUUCUCGCUUUUGACUGGAGUUGCAGCGUCCUUAGCCGCUAAACCCCCAAUUUUUAAUGGUUGACCUCGGAUCAGGUAGGAAUACCCGCUGAACUUAAGCAUAUCAAUAAGCGGAGGAAAAGAAACCAACAGGGAUUGCCCCAGUAACGAAA
rnacentral:rRNA from 1 species